rnacentral:piRNA from 1 species
UCAAUUACUUGUACAUGAUGUUGUGGUGG